rnacentral:rRNA from 1 species
UCUGGUUGAUCCUGCCAGUAGUCAUACGCUUGUCUCAAAGACUAAGCCAUGCAUGUCUAAGUAUAAAUGCUAUACAAUGAAACUGCGAAUGGCUCAUUAAAACAGUUAUAGUUUAUUUGGUAAUCGAAUUUACAUGGAUAACCGUGGUAAUUCUAGAGCUAAUACAUGCUGUUAAGCCUGACUUACGAAGGGCUGUAUUUAUUAGAUAACAGACCAAUAUUCCUCGUGUCUAUUGUGGUGACUCAUAGUAACUGAUCGGAUCGCAUGGGCGUGCCCGCGACAAACCAUUCAAGUUUCUGCCCCAUCAGCUUUCGAUGGUAGUGUAUUGGACUACCAUGGCUUUUACGGGUAACGGAGGAUUAGGGUUCGAUUCCGGAGAGGGAGCCCGAGAAACGGCUACCACAUCUAAGGAAGGCAGCAGGCGCGUAAAUUACCCAAUCCUGACUCAGGGAGGUAGUAACAAGAAAUAACGGGCCGGGUAUUAUAUCCGGGACUGAAAUGAGAUGAAUUUACACCCCUUAUUGAGGAUCAAUUGGAGGCAAGUCUGGUGCCAGCAGCCGCGGUAAUUCCAGCUCCAAUAGCGUAUAUUAAAGUUGUUGCAGUUAAAAAGCUCGUAGUUGGAUUUCUGGUAGGAAUAUCGAUGUCAGAUUGUUCUGUGCAGAAAUAUCUUACCAUCCUUCUGUUAACUUAGUUUGCUCUUCAAAGGCGGCUAAGGGCUCAGAUAUUUUACCUUGAGAAAAUUAGAGUGUUUCAGGCAGGCUAGCGUCGGAAUACAUUAGCAUGGAAUAAUGGAAUAGGACUUAUACCUCUUCUGUUGGUCUGAGGGGUGCAAGUAAUGAUUAAUAGGGAUAGUUGGGGGCAUUAGUACUUAACUGUCAGAGGUGAAAUUCUCGGAUUUGUUAAAGACUAACCUAUGCGAAAGCAUUUGCCAAGGAUGUUUUCAUUAAUCAAGAACGAAAGUUAGGGGAUCAAAGACGAUCAGAUACCGUCCUAGUCUUAACCAUAAACUAUGCCGACUCGGGAUCGGGGGCGAGAGUUAUCCGCCUUCGGCACCGUAUGAGAAAUCAAAGUCUUUGGGUUCUGGGGGGAGUAUGGUCGCAAGGCUGAAACUUAAAGGAAUUGACGGAAGGGCACCACCAGGCGUGGAGCUUGCGGCUCAAUUUGACCCAACACGGGGAAACUUACCAGGUCCAGACAUAGUGAGGAUUGAC